rnacentral:lncRNA from 1 species
CUUGCCUCAUGAUGGCCGCCCCACCAGUCGGCAUCUCAAAUAUUUGUUCUUUGGGUGAAUCCCAUGUGAUGACGUAGAAUUCUUCGACUUGAGCCUUUCUAAGCAGUCCUCCAGUGCUUCCUCCGAAGAUGGGUGAUGGGGUGUUGGGGUCCAAUUCUGGAGGGGUGAAACCAACCGGAGCUUCCUUUGUGGCGGCAGCAGAUGAUGCUUCCUCAUCAGCAGCUGCAGCUCUAAUGGUUCUUUGAGCCACGGAGAAGUUGAGGGACUUGGAAGAGGUAGCAAAGGAAAAUGAUGAGGCUGGUUUCCAUGGGGCCAAAGAUUUUGGGGUGGUGAUUGUGGGGGUGAAGAGACCUGCUUGAGUUGCCAUGGCCAUGUAGAUGAUUGAUGUUAGGGCUGCAGUUGAUGAGUUCUUUUUGUUGAUUUUUAGGGGGGGGAGGGGGGGGGAUUAGAGAUUUAUGUGAUUGAUGAUAAAAAAGAAAAUGAAUUUUGAUGGGUGGAUGGUGUUUGGAUAAGAUGAUAUUUACUUGGACCAAUAGGAUGAUUGAUUUUGAUGCUUGCUCUCACCCAAGCCUAGUUCUCUCUUCUCCUAAUGUCCUCUACAUUUAUUUGGAUAUCUCAUAAUCUUCUAAAGGAAUUCCUAAAUACAACACAUUUUAUAGGCAAAACAUUAACAAGGUCUCUUUCGGAACAUGCAUUGAACCUACGAAGUUCCCCAUAAGUUACCAUUUGCCAAGCUAAACAUUCAUGCAUUUACCAAUACCCAACUUAAUCUAAUGCUCCAUUUUGCAGUUAUGGGUAAAUUUGUUUAGGGGCAGGGUGAGCCUUGGCAUCAGCAUCCAUGGAAAUCACUUCAGAUUUUGCUAUUAGUUAUUGUAUUAUAGGUAAGUUAUGGAUUUAAUCUUUAUAUUUUAAUAUGAAUUCAAUUUUGACCCAAAUAGUAAUUGUUAAAUCCGCUUAGUUAAAUUCUAUCAUUUCAAAAUUCUUAUGUGGCAAACAUAUAAUUAUUUUGUAACGUCACGUUAACCAACUAUUUUCACAUAAUACUCACAAAAAAGUUAGAUAAUUAUAAAUUUUAAAAAAGUUUAGACUAAUAUUGAUUAAAUUGGAGAGCAAAAAUUAAAUCCACAAAUUAUGCAUAAUACAUGAAGAAAUUACUUUAUGGACCCUUCCCACCACAUCAUCUAUGGUCCUUUUCUUUUCAAUUAUUUAAUAACGCUUGAGCAAAUUUUUUCAUGUUAUUGAUACAUAAUUUUGGCAAUUUUUUUACCUCAAACUUAGAACCCAAAACCCAGAAUCAUAGAUCUCAAACUCGAACCUUAGACCCUAAAACUCAAAUUUGAAUUGAACUUUGAAUCCCGAAUCCGAAGGGUUCAUGUUCGGGUUUGGGGUUCAAGGUUUGGUGUUCGAGAUUCUAAGUUUUGGGUCUAGGGUUUUAUGUUAGAGUUUAAAACCCUAAACUCGUAACCCUAAACUCAAAUUGAAUCCAAACAUAGACCUUGAGCCUUCAACCCCGAAUCCGACAUGUUUGGGUUUGGGUUGGAGGUUCAAGGUUAAAUGUUUAGAGGAAAAAAUUUAUCAAAAUUAUGUAUCAAUGAUAGGAAAACAAUUAUUGAAAUGUCAUUAGAUAAUUGGAAAGGGCCUAUGGAUGAUGUGGUGAAAAUGGUCCAUAAAAUAAUAUCUCUAUUUUAUGAUUGAUAGCAAAAAUUGACAUAUCAAAUUUAAUUUGUACUAUUGGAUCGAAACUAAAAUUUUAAAAUUCAAAAAAUAUAUAUAAUAACAGGAUUUUUUUUUUCUUUUUAUUGCAAUUUUCCACAUCUUCCAACUAAAAUUUAUUCUCAGGGUUAAAUUAUUUUUUAGGUGUAAAUUUGGCAACUUAUCCUCACGUUGAGACCUGAAUUUUUUUUUAUUCAAGUUAAUCUUUGAACUUGGCGGUUAUUCACACAUUAGGGACUAAACUCUUUUAUCCUAGUUAGUUCUUAAACUUACAAUUGUUCCCACAUUGAAAUCUCAACUUUGUUUUGUUCAAAUUAGCCCAUGAACUUGCUAUUUGUUCCCAUAUUAAGGCCUGAACUAGAAAUUAUUCUCACAUUGAGGUAUGAACUUCUUUUGUCCAAAUGAAUCUUGAACUUGAUAAUUGUUCUUGAACUAGGUAAUUAUUUCCAUAUUAAGGCUUAAUUUUACCAAUAGUCUUAAAAGAGACUGAAACAUUUGGCAGGAUCAUAUUCCUCAGUGUCCAAAAAAUGGUACAUACUGCGGGAACCUUUAAUUAUUGGAUACCUUCCUCCUUUCUUUUUCUGUCCUUAACAAUGAACUAUUGGCAGAUACUACAACAAACUAACCCCAUAUGACAGUAUACCCUGCUUUUCCCAAUUAUUUAAGGAACCUUUCCUGAAAAUGAACUAUCAUGUCCAAAUAAUUCUAAAGUGGUAGUGUAAUUGUAAAGCAACAAAAGAAUACAAAAAAAAAAAAGGGCCAAAUAAUAUUCAGUUGCUUCCACUUCUUACCUUUGAGAAUUUUUUGGUUCUGCUUUUUUUUGAACUUCAGGCACAUCCCCACAACUCCACCCACAAUCAAUAACAACAAAAUCAAUGGCAAAUUGAACAAAGCAUAAGGUUAAUGUUUUUCAAAUAAAAUAGUAACCAAAUUAAGAACAUCGUUUUUCUCAGCAAAUGAUUAAGCUAUUUACACUGUCAGCAUCACCUUUAACCAAUCAAAUAAAUUUGACCCCAUUUUAACACCCCCACAAACCAUACUUUUAAUAGGGCAACCCAAAGCAAAAAAAUUAUCCAAAACAUGGUAUUGGUUGGUCCCCUACUUUGGUUCUUACUUCAAAACGGCAUGGUUUAAUAACAGCCCUUUUCUAAUAGUAUCCUCUCUUCUUUAAGAGCUAUGACCCCCCAGGCCUUUAAGCCAAUGUGAUUGUGAUGCUUGGUACCAGCAGGAGUUGUACCCAAAUCUUAUCUUCUAAUCUUUAUUCAAUUCAUAAGCUCCUUUGGUUUUACACCUCUGCUGAAUCUGUCAGACAAUUAAUAUCUUUAGUUCCUCAGGCAUACAUGAAGAGCUCUGGUCCCCUCAAAAACCUUGUCCCUUGAAAAUUCCAUGGGGGUCUCCUGUAAUAACAAGGCAUCUGCUGUAGAAAAGGUGGCUGGUGCAUGUGCUCAAAGAUUGAAGGCAUGUUUCUUCCACAAACCAGAGACGAUUUUUGGCCAUUACGAGCAGAAGAAAUCUGUGUCCCGUUGUGAUGGCAGUGUAGGAACUGAUAAAACCAACUGUGUUGCUUGUUGAGCUUGUUCUCGAGUUGCCACAGCUACGUGAAACCAAACAAUCAUAGGCGAUGCAGACUGGCUGCUGUAGGUAUUUCUUGUGCCUUAGGCGAUAACACGGACUUGGUAUUUACCCCAAACGAUAUUUGUGUUUGGCCUUGUGGAGGCCUCAAUGGUUGCUGGGGAAAAGUUUUAACAUUGGUAGCAGGGGAAGCUGGGGUUCUAGCUGAGUUUUUCCAUGGGGUUGAUUGUGCAGCAGGGUUGCUUUGGGGAACAGUUUGCGUGUAUAUGGUAGCAUUGCUAGAAAAUUUAGCAGCAAUCGAAGAUGCAGGCAUGGUGUUGGUUGUCUGAAUUUUGCUUCGAGAAGCUGUAGCAGGUUGCUGAUGAUGUUGUUGCACCAUGUGCUGCUUCUGAAGUUGAAGCAGCUGUUGAUGGGAAUUUGAUGAAUUAGCAACAACGGGAGGACUUAUGGCUACUGUAGUGGAGGUAAUGGAGCACGGAGUCCAGUUUCCCGUGACGGUAGAGGAUACAAAAUUCAAAGAUCUAGCUGAAUUGUCAAAAAAAUAUGUCUGACCAUUUGUUGUAUGCGACUUCCCUGAACUUGCCUUUUUUCCAUCAUCCUUACUGGUCGAACUAGAUCCACUCUUCCCAUCAGAUAUUUGGUGAUUCUUCUGCUGUGCAACUUGUGGUGCAGGUGCAACUUGGUAUCCUUGCCGAGCCAACUCAGGUAGGCUAUGCAAAAAUGCAGGGUUUUGUGCCAUAGAUGAGAAGUUAAGAUUUGAAGCUUUGUUGUUUCCAGUGGACGCAAAUGACAUGGCAAAUGCUUGAGUAGGGACAAGAUCAACUCCGCCUCCACCAACUGAUGCAGAGGGUACGAAGGCAAAGUUGAGCGGCUGAUGAGGAAGAGGUGGGUUCUGGGAAUGAACUUUUUUCUGGGAGUUCGCAAUUGGACGCUCUCCACUCAUCUCCUGCUCCAUUUUACGAGAUUGAUUGGAUGAAAGAACAUUAUGCUCCUGAAGCUGCUGCGAAUGCAUGCUUGUUGAGCUCAAAAAAUUGUUGCCACAAACUUGUCCACCCCGUGGUUGCUGACUUUCUGGUUGCUUGUGGGAUGACGAUGAACCACUUGAUGGGACUGUAUUUUGAUAAGCUGGUUGAACCAGAGGCUGAGAGCGAGCUUGCUGCUGUUGAAGUUGAGGAUGGAACAUCUGAGAAGAAUGGAAAGGCCCAUUAAAGAAAGGCAACGACUGACUGGGGGUUCCUCCUCUAAUUGCUGAUGGGUUUCCGACCGGUGCAGAGAUAGAAAAAGGAUAACCAUUGUUCUGUAAUAUAGUCAAGUACGGAGCCUGGUUAGCAGCCAAAUUUGGGUAAUUAAAGCUCACAGCUCCUGCUACUCCUGGUAACACUGUAGAGCUAGUCGAAAUUCCAAGUGUUGAAUUAUCAGUCAAGGAUGCUUUGCCAGUUGAGGUAGCAGAAUUAGAAGGGCCAGAUGGAUUUGCAGUUGUUUGAUACUGACUCAAAGGGAAUAUGAAAGCAGGGCCAUGCUGCAACAUCACAGAAAACAAGACUUAGAAGAAAAAAAAACUUCUGAAACAAAAUGAUUGAAAAUGAAUAAAAGAAACAAAAAAAAAUGAAGUAGCAAGAAAGCUUCAUUAACUUUAAAAAGCAUAAACAUACCUUCAAGGUACCAGUAGAUACCGGUUGGGAAGCCUGUUGAACCACAACCUGCUUCUUCUUUGUCGCGUCCUUUGAGCAUUCAGAGAUUUUAUCUUUCCUGGUAAGACUAGGAAAGCUUGCCGCAACCUUACUUUUCUCCAAGGUAGGGCUUAGACUCACUAAUGGAUUUCCAAGAAUCAAAGUUUCUGCAGGUGGUGCCACAUUGAGAUUGCUGGGCUUGCCCCCAGAAAGAGAAACAGAACCACUCUGUGGUGGCAAAAAAUGGUUCAUUUUUGCAUACUGCUGGUGUGAUUGUAUGUUUUGAGCAAUGUAGUGAUGCAUGACACAUCUUUUAGGCCGAGGUUGGGAAAGCAAGAAACGAAAGGGCUGCAUAUUUUCAAUAGAAAAUAGUUAAUUAAAAGCCAAGAAAAAUCCAGAGCCAUUUGAAUCUUAGACCUAGAAAGGAAAUCAGUAAUUCAUACCUGCAAUGCCAUGGAUGAUCCGACACUUGCAUCCAUAGGCAGAAAUGUCUGGAAGGGAGGCAUAUACCUGUUAUAAAAAGUAAAAGUCAAACUCCUUAGAAACAAUAUGAUAUAAUUCCGCAACCCCAUUUAACAAAAAAAAAAUGCAGGUCCGGAACAAAGUCUUGGUAGCUUACCCCAGUGGUGGCAGACCAUUUGGCACAGGCACUGAACUAGAUGAAGCUGAAUUAAGAGAAGAGAAUCAGUUAGUAAACUUCAUCAAUUCAUAGUUCAAGCAAACCAAGAGAGCUAAAGUUAACAAAUAAAACUCAUUAAGCAGCACAGAGAGUCAAAACCUGAAACAUAUUAAAAAUUUACCUGUUUGCAUCACUUUAGAAAUGCCAACUUUAGAUAGCUGUGGCUUUUGACCUAGCUCAAAUGUACAACAAUCACUAGCAGCUUGAUCCGGCUUCUCCAAAUUAAGGUUCAACAACUCUCGUUUCUCAUUAGUUGUAUCCAUCUUCUUGCCUUUACUAUCUUCUGCUUUCAUUUCUUUCUCCACAACCUUUGCUUCAUCCUUGACCAAGGUCUCCACCUUCUGCAUGAAAAUGAGAAAAUAAUAUGUUUAAUCCAUGAACAAAAAUCAGAAGGAGAAAUCAGUAGAGCCGAAAUGCACUCACCCAUUCUGCAUCCUGAAACUUGUAAUUAGGAUUGGACAUUAUAUCCGCACAGCCAUCCUUUACUGGAGAUGAUGCCAUAGGAGGAGCCUGUUGGAAAAGGUGGCACUACUCAUUAUUCCUUCUUCAGUAAUUUGGACAGCAAAAUACCAACCCAAGUAAUCUAAUUUUGACAGAAGGAGAUUCUCACCAUCAAAUCGAUCUCUUCAAGCUGGCUUUCCACAAUUGUCAUUGCUGAUACUCUAUCGAUGUCCCCGCCAUUUAAAAGAAAUAAGAUAUCUUGAGAGCAUUAAUUAAAGGAGAUAGAAAGAAAGCAAGAUUCUUUGAUACUUACGGUUCGGUCGUGGUGGGAUUCAGAUAAUCAACACCCAAAUUAGCAGAUUCCUUUUUGGUCGUAACUGAUUUUUCCUUGGUCACAGCUCUAUCUACAGAAUUCGGUUCUUCUACAGCAGAUGGUUUCGGAUCUCCUUGCUUAAUCAACAUUGCAUUCUCCCAUGACUCCAUUACCACUGGUGCAGUUUUUGCAACGCCAUUAUCAGAAAUUGCAGCAUUAAGUCCCAAAAUUUGACCCUUUUUUGGUGAAAAAAUUCCCAUUUCUGCCUGCUGUUCAUUCUCAACUUUCAGUGGAGUUGGAGAAUCCACAACUUCAAUUUUGAUCUUGUUUGAGGCUACAAAUGCCAAUAAUGAAAACAAAUAAAGAAAAAGAAUACCAUAUGGCAAAAGAAUUUAAUGAUAAAAGUAGUUACCAAGGCCAGUUAAUGGAUCCUUUAAAACUGUUGUCUGGGAUUGGCUGAGUGCAGAGCUUGCAAUCUGAGGAGAAGAAGAGGUCUUAAUAUCCGUAGAGAAAACAUUCGCAUCUUCAGAUUCAAGCUUUGAAGAAGGGUUUCCAGCUCUAUCUUCCUUCUUGGAGCUAUGCGAUUGCUUCAUCAAUCCGUAAAGAACCUCUGCAAUUUCAAUCUCAAUAUCCUCUUGAGCUGAGCUCGAAGACUUGGUCGCCUUUGGAAGCCAAGUCUUGGGUCGAUUCGUCUUCUGCAACAUUUCGUGGGAAAAACAAAAGACCCAAAAACAGCUAAAUCCUCUCAAUUUCGUCAAACAUUAAAAAAAGGAGAAAAGAGGGUAGAAAAGGCCCAUAAGCUGACCAUCUUCUUCCUGACUGAACCAUUUGAUGAAGACGGUGAAACACGGUCAGACUCAACGCUCCGACGAGCCGGUGACACCGAACCUCGCAGAUGGUUUUGUUCAUCGACGAAACCACCAUUUCCAGCCACCCAAUUCUCAUGUGACCUUUUCACUGAAGCUGAAAAAGAAAAAGAAUACCAAGAGUAAAGAAAAAAAGGAAAUCAGCUCCAUCUUUUAUAUAUAAAAACAUAAAUAAUUAAAUAACCAACAAUUUUGAUACCUGAGCGAGCUUUUCUGGGAACCGGAAAACUCAUCAUCAUUUCAUCGGUGGCCUUCAAAUGAGUCGCCUGCCCAGAAAUUCUAGCAGAAGGUGAGAUUUUACGGCUACUGAGCUGCUUCUGCUGCUGCUCGGUUUCGUUUUCUUCUUCUUCUUCUUCUUCACCACCUGAACUCUCCUCCGUACUUUCUUCUCCGUCUUCUCUCUUAUCGCUUUCACGUAAAACCACCUUAUUCGACCGCCUACGCUUGCUCCGAUUCGACAAAUCUCGCUCUCUAUCUCUCUUACUCGUUCUCUCUCUUAACCUCGCCGUUUCUUGCAUCUCCAUCUCUCCAUCUUCUGCAAAACCCAACCAAAAAAAUAUAUAUCAAUCAAUCAAACUCCAAAAAAAAAAAAACCUUCACACAGAGAUAAAAUGAAAUAAAAAAGUCUGAAAUCAGGUGACUGACGGAUAUUAUUAUUCCGUUGACGACGUUUAUGCAACCCGUUUGACUGAGCUAUGUUCGAUCUUCUUCCUUCUCUAUUUCUCUCCAUUAUAGAACUUCUAUUUCAAUUAAACCUCAAAAACAAACAAUAUUCCAACGACAAUACCCCGCCGUUAAACAAUCCGCCAUAAUUUCCGGCGAAAAACAACUGUUUCAAAACCUCAAGCUUCAAGCUUCUUUUAAAGUAAAAAGAAAUGAAUACAUAAAAAAGAGUUCACCGUUUCCUCCUCUGCGAUAGCUUAAAAAAUAUCUCUCUCUCUUUUCCUUUGAACUUAUCUCUCUUUUUUUAAUGGGAAAUAUUAACCAGACACUGAUAUUUUAAUUUUUAAAAAAGUUAAAUAUUAUUUUUAAUGGGAAAUAUUAACCAGACACUUUUUUAAUUUUUAAAAAAGUUAAAUAUUAUUUAUUUAAUUUCAAACUUUAUGAAAAAUAUUAUUAACUAACUUUAAACGGCCAGCUGUGAACCAAUUUGUACCCCUUUUUUAAUGUUGUUGGUCAUUUCACUCGCGUCAAAGUGGAAACCUACUUCAGGAGCCGGUAUUGAAUUCUGACGCUCCAGAUUUUUACUUCUCAGAAAUGGCUUGAUCUUCACCGUUCGGUAUUUGGACAGAUGUGGCAUUCUAGAUGCCUACGUGACAGAUACGUCACUUUCCUGAUGGAAUAUGGUAAAUGACCACUAACUUGCCACGUUUCAGGCGUUAUAAAUUCAAUUUAUAUUCCACAAAAUAUCAUAAAUAUUUUUAUUUAAAAAAACCUAUUCAUAAAUAUUUCACGAGAUUAUUUAUGCACAAUUAUACGUAAUUAUACAUGUGACUUUUAGAUACAUGCUAUUCAAAAUUUAUUUUUUUAUUUUUUUAUUAACAGAGCUAGGAGUUUAGCAAGGGCUUAUAUCCUCUUAAAAUAAAAAAAUUUUAUUAAUAUUUUUAUAAUUUAUAAAUUUUAAAUUAAUAAUUAUAAAUUUAUAUUUUAUCACUCAAAGAUAAUAAAAAUUUAAUUUAAUUAUUUAAAAAUUAUUAAAAUAAUAAAAUUAUAUUUUUAUAAUUUAAUUUUAGAUCUCAAAAAAAAAAUUCUGACUCUGCUAAUACUAGUAAAAUUUAACCAAAAGUUUUUUCAUUUUACACCUAUGUGUCAGUUUUAAUUAAUAAUUAAAUUCAAUAAAAUAUAAAAAAUAAUGUUGUUAAUAAACAAAUAAUCAUUAAUUUAGUUUGGCGUUUCUACGUAACCAAUCUAUCUCCCUUUUUUAUCUUUUUGUGGGGCCGGAACAAGCGGGGGGGCUCACCUAGUCACCUUCUUCAAUUUUCUCAAUCACUCUCUACGCCACGCAUUCGUUUGGCGCGUGAGUAAACACAUGUGAAGGAAAAAAGGAUUCGCAUUUUAACCAGGUGGAUCCCACUUCAGAAAGUACACUUGUCAACUUCCCAUUCGCUGAUCCACUUAAAUGAAAUAUCGUUCUUUUUCCCCUACCGUACAGUGGAGGGAAAUAAAAAGUAGCAGAUUAGUCACGUGGUAAUUGGUGGGGUCCGAAAUGACCGCUCGGUCGGACAAAUUCUUUUUCUACUGGGACCUACAAGGAAAUUGAGGAUGGAGAUUUAUUGUCCGACGCCGAUGGGGAAAUGUCAUCCAUUGGAUCGGAAUCCUACGUGGCUUUAACUUGGUUGUCACGAACUAGAUUUAUUAUUAGAAAAUAAAGCGAGUCAGACCUGGAACCGAGAUUCAACAACCACCGUCGAAUCCGACGGUCAAUAAUGUUUUGGCAGCAGAGAGGGCUGAAAUCGUGCGAGAAUGGCGGGUCCCCGUGGGGCUUUUUACUGACGUGGCAUAUAUGCAUGACGUUACCAAAAAUAAAGCGGUAAUAACAGAUACCAGGAAUUUAGAUAUUUACAUAUAUUUGAAUAUGCUUUUUCGGAUGGAAGUAUUUUGGUUUAAUAUAUAAUUUGGCCCUCCAACUUGUGCAUUUGUACUUAGUAAGUCUUUAAAUUUUUUCUUUUUUUAUUUAAUUGGUCUCUAAACUUAUAUUUCUCCAACUAAAUUGAUAUCUUCACACUAGCACCUUUAAUUGUGCUGAUGUGAUACUAUUAACCAAUUCAAUGUACCACGUGGUAGCCUCUCAAUGAAUCACAUGACAAAUAUAAAAAUAUAAAUUAUGCUCGCCACGUGGCAUUUUAAGAAACCAUUACAUGGCACCACCAGAUUGACUAGAAAUGCUAUGCCAAUACAAACUAAUAGUGUUAGUGUGAAGCGACCAAAUUGGUUGACGAAAUACAAGUUAAUGGAUCAACUAAGUCCAACAAAAUUUAAAGAUCAAUUAGGUAUAAAUGGACACGCUCACGAGAUAAAUUAUAUAUUAUCACUAAAUUCUAUUACAUUUAUGGUAGAGGUAAAAAACAUAAUUAUUUAAUAAAUAUAUUUUAUAAUAAUUAAUAUAUAGUGAAUAUGUAUUUAUUUGAAAGAAAAUAUUUGAUACAUUCUUAGUAAAGUUUUUAAAGUCUAUAAAUAAAGUUAGGAUGGAGCCAAGUCUGUUAUAAUAUAUAGUAAAAUAUUAAAAAAUUAAUAUAUAAAAGAAAUGUUACAUAUGGAAAUUAAUAUAUACGAGUCUGUUAUAGAAUUACAAUUUUUCAAUUUUGGAAGCUAGGUCCCCUACUUACCCCUUGUAUCCGCCCCUUAUCAUAUGCAUUUAUUUUUUUAGAUUUUAUGUAAAUGAUAAAAAUAUCCUUGAAUAAUGUUUACUGUUUUGUUAAAAUAAUGAACUUUUAAUAAUUUAACGAUUGAGUUGGGACUCGGUUGAAUCAACCAUUUAUUUUACUUGCAAAAUAAACAUAAUUUUUUUUAAUUUUAUACUUUUAAAUGUGUGUGUUUAACCUUUUAUGUGUUUGAUUAUUCAUUUAUUCCUUUCUAAUUUAAUGAAAUUAUCUUUUCGGCAAUAAAUGUGGAAUGUAAAAUUAUGGGUAGAGUAUUGGUAUCAGAUUUUUUCAUAACCCUCGAUAAAUCAUCAAAAAAACAACCAUUUCAUGCAUGGGUCAAAUUUCUAGCAUGAACCAUAACUUGAAAUAGUGUAACACCCCCUACCCGUAUCCGUCGCCAGAAUAAAGUACGAGGCAUUACUGAGGAGUACAAAAACACUUACAGAUAAUUUAAAUAUAUUUUCAUAACAACUUGUCUCGAUUUCAUACUAUUUCAUAUUUAAGUUUUACUCACCAAAGUAUUUGAAAUAUCAUCUUUAUGCAAAUAGCACACAUGAGGUACAUAAUUCCAUAAUUAAGAAUGAACACAUUUAUCAAACAUAUUCCACAUUCAUAUAUCAAUGUCUCACAUUUCCAUAUAUCAAUAACCGUCAUUUUUCUUGUUUUUCAGAUAAUUAUAUGUAACCAUUGAUAAGCAUGCAAUUCACUGUUUCUUUCUGUCAAUCACAAUUUCAAAUGACAAAUUCGUGUGAAUGAGCUCAACCUCAUUAUGUGUUUAAAUUAUGUCACUUUGAUUCGCAUACUCAUUAUUUACUAACAUAUUCUGUCAAACACGAUCUCUGAAUGACAAAAUCACAUAAUUGAGCUCAAUAAUAAUAAUGAUAACAUUGCUUACAUUUCUUUUUCCACAUGUUACAUUUACGACUUAGCAACUUGUCCAUUCAAGGAACAGCUUACGGGUUUGACUACAUUGUGAUCUGAAGCCCGAAGUCUAACUGAAGCACAUAAGUGCUAAACAGAAGCCCGAAGGCUAACUGAAGCACAUAAGUGCUAAACGGAAGCCCGAAGGCUAACUGAAGCACACCAGAGCUGAACUGAAACCCCAAAAGGGUUAACUGAAACUCAUAUAAGUUAACGAAGGUCGUAAAAGCUAAACAGAAAGCAAACACGAGAAUGUGCAACAAAUGCUGAAUCUCGGUUUACUUGGGUAAUUUACCGUCAAUUCAUCUUUUUCACUGAAAGAUUGUACUUAUUUCCUGCGUUCCGUUCCUCUGAAAUUCUCAGUUCAAUUUCAUAACUUUUGUACAUAAUUUACUUAUUUUCAACAAUUAACAUACAUAAAUAUUAAUCACCAUUCAUAAAAUAAUAUUGAAAUUUAAUAAUAUUAACAAAUGGUCACUAAAUUUAGUUAUAUAAACUCACAAGUUCGAUUUUUGUAUUAUGGCGAUAAUCAUAAUUUCAUAAUAAAUAUUCCAAAUAAAACAUUAUAUCGUUUCUAAUUCAAAACUUAUCGAUUAUAAUCGGGCAUGUGAUCAAUUUAUACGCGAGUCAUUCAUAUAUUUUUGGUUGGGCCAAUUAAUACAGUUUAUUCAUUGAAGUCUCCCCUGUUCUGCUAUCUGACAGUUCCGACCCUUCUUAACUAAAAAUUAAUUAUCUCCUCGAACAGGAUUCGAAUGAUGUUCUCAUUUGUUUCUCUUGAAAAUAGACUCAUUCAGGAUUUUAAACAUAUAAAUUUAAGCCCCUAAUUAUUUUUAUCCAAUUUUUGAUGAUUUUACAAAGUCAGAACAGGGGAACCCAAAAUCAUUCUGACCUUGUCUCACAAAAUUUAUCAUAUCUCAUGAUUUACUAUUCCAUUGCUUACAUUAUUUAUUCUAUAAGAAACUAGACUUAAUUAGCUUUGAUUUCAUAUUUUAUUCAUCCUCUAAUUCCAUUUCUACAAUUUUUGGUGAUUUUUCAAAGUUAGACUAUUGUUGCUGUCCAAAACAGUUUUAGUGGAAAAUGUUGAUUUCCAUUUUACCCCAAAUUUCACAAUUCAUACAAUUCAGUCCUUGCUCAAUUAACCCCUCAAUUAAGAUAAUUUUCUCAAUUAAGAUAAUUUUCUCAAUUAAUACUUUUCCUAAACAUUAUAAGUUAUUUCAUAACUAUUGAAAUUCAGAAUUUCCACAUAAAACUCUAACUUCAAACUCUUUUACAAUUAGGUCCCAAACAUUAACUUUCUAUUCAAUUCUUACAAUAAAAUCAACAUAUAAACAAUUUCAAGCUCUAAUUCCAUGCCAAAUCAUCAUAUACUUCCAGCACAUAUGUAUAGAAACUUUCAAUUUCUUUCAUAGAAUCAAAAACUAUUGAAUUCAACAAGUGGACCUAGUUGUAAAAGUCACAAAAAUACAAAAAAUUCAAGAAAUAAUCAAGAAUUGAACUUACUUGGAGUAAAAAUAUGAAAAACCAGCUUAAUAGAACUCCUCCAUGGCGUUUUUCUGAUGAGAAUGCAGAAAAAUAAAGAAAAAUCUGGAUAAUUCCACUUUAGUCCUAGCUUUAUUAAGUAAAUAUUUGCAAUUUUCCAUUUUUGUCCUUAAUUCUCCUUAUUUUCUUGUUGAUUUCAUGCCCUUUCCGUCCAGCCCAAAUAAACCUUGGGUCUAUUUUCCUUUUAAACCCUCUUUCUUUUAUCAAUUAGGCUAUUUAAUCAUUUCCCAUAAUUUUGCAUUUGAUACAAUUUAGUCCUUUUUGUUCAAUUAACUAUUAGAACUUUAAAAUUUCUUGACGAAACUUUAGUACUAACAUAUUAACACUCCAUAAAUAUUUAUAAAAAUAUUUAUGGAUCGAUUUAAAAUUCCCGAGGUCUCGAUACCUCGUUUUCGGUUCUAAUUAUUUUAAUAUUUAUUUUUAGUACACUAUUCACUAUUUCAAAAUUCUUUCUAGCUUCACAUUUAAUUUAUACUCACUAAAUUAAUAAUAUUUCCUACUCAUUUGUCGGAUUUAGUGAUCUCGAAUCACUGUUCCGACACCACUGAAAAUUAGGCUGUUACAAAUAGGGGCAGAAAUAGAGAGAACGUGUUACGAGGAUCUCAAAAAUACGAAGAAUGUUAAAAACGGGGCUAAAGAGCACUUACUAUUGAGCUUGAAAAUGUUGAAAACCCUAACUAUGUAGACCCUUCAAUUUUCGGCAGUCAUGAAGAAGAACAUGGUUGAAUUUUGCUUCCUUUUUCCCUUUUUAUUAAUUUUAUUACCAAAUGACCAAAAUGCACUUCCUUACUAACUUUUCAAAAUUUUUCAUGUAUGCCCAUUUUUGUCUAAAAACUUAGAAUUAAGAAAAUUGCUAUCUAAGGACUAUUAAUUAAUAAUCCAUUGCAUUUUCACACUAAUUACUUCUAGAACCCAAGUUUUACAAUUUAUUCAAAUUGGUCCCUAAUUCCCGAUUGGACACCUUAUACUUAGAAUUUCUUCAUGAAACUAUAAAACAUGCUUAUUUUCAUAUUCUAAACCUCAUAACAAUCAUAAAACAUAUAAUUUUACAUCGAAUUUGUGGUCUCAAAACUACUAUUCCGACUAAGCCCAAUUUUGGGAUGUUACAUAUUUAAUUCACUUGACUAGAAUAUAAGAUUUUAGUGUUCAGUUGACUAAAUGUAAAAUUACCUAAAAACACAUAUUUAUUAAAUUGUCCUUGUUGUGUAAUUUUUUCUAAUAAAUUUAGCUUCUUUCAUAUUUUUAAUCUUAAUUUACCUAAAUUAUGAUUUUUAUUUUAUUUUAUUACAAUUUAUAUAUCAAUAAGUAAUAUAAAAAUCAAUUUAUAAAUCAUAAUUAAAAUAAUAAUAAAUAACUCUUUAUAGUAGAUAUGAUAAUUAUAACUUUAAAUUAUAGCAUAUAUUGUUUCAUUAUUAACUUUUUUUUUAAACUAAGCUUUAAAAAAAUUAUAAUUUUAAUUAAAAUAAUAAAAAUAAGUAGUAAAUUGAUUCAAAAUUUAAGAUUCUACUUGUAAUUUAAGAUUACUCAAAGAAUUGAUGAUAUUGAAAUUAUAGCAUAUAUUACAAUAUCUUGAUACUAUUUGAGGAAGCGAGAUACUAAAAUCACCAAAAAAAUAUUGAGAAUCCAAACAAAUAAAAUAUUGAUUUGAAAUGUGAGAUAACAUACCAUCAUCUAAGAUAGCAUAAACCAAAUACCAAAAUUACUGGUCAUAAUAAAUUGUUUAAGGUUUUAAAACAGAAUUAUUAAUGUACACACAAAUUUGACUUUGAAAAUUUGGAGUUAAAUUUUAUUGGUAACUUAGAAAAAAAAAGUUUACAAUCUUUGGAAUUUUAUUGAAUGCAAAGAAAAAUAUUUUUUGAUUCUUCUCUCUCAUUUGACUUUGAUCUAAGGGUCGUCUAACUUGAUAUUGAAUGAAUAUAGAUUAUUUCAAGUGUCACAUUGACUUGCUCUUAAAAUGGGUUUGGACCUCAUUUCUUUAGUUGACACAUAUUGAUAAGAGAUUUUCUUUAAAACCGACUUUUGUCUUCUUUUUUACAGUUGAACUGAAUCAAAAUACGCCUUUUCUUUAGAACUUGUAUGCUGUUAUUGAACUCGUGAAUGUGUAGACUGACUUAGAAACCUCUUUUUAUAGUGCAAAAUAUAUGAAUAAAAGAAAAUUCUUGUAAAAGUUAAUUGCUUCAUUUGAUCUAAUCCGAUGAACAAGAGAAAGUUAUUGUAAAAGAUAACUGCUUCAUUUGAUUGUUUUACUAUAAAUCAAAUUAAUUAAUUUAUUAUUUUAUUAUUUUAUUUUUAAUUAGUGAAAUUAUAUUUUUAUUAUUUAUCUCUCAAUUAAUUUAAAUUAAUUAGAGAAAAAAUAUAACCCAAAUAAAAUAUCAUCAUUUUUACUAGGGAUAAAUCUCAAAAUUAUACAUGAACUUUGAUUUAAUGUGCAAUUAUACACAUGAAUUUUAAUUUGGUGCAAUUAUAUACUUGAAACUUUAAUUAUGGUUCAAAUGUAUACUUGAAACUUUAAUUUUAAUUUAAUCAUACACGUUUAAAAAAUAAAUAUAUCGAAUUAUUUUUAUAUUGAAUAAAUAUAAUUAUUUAUGUAUGAAAUAUAUAAACAUAAAACGAUAUUAUAUCAAUAAUUUUAUUAAUAAUUCACAAAAAAAAUUGAUUAAAUCAAAAUUUUAUGUAUACAAUUAUACAUUAAACUAUAAUUUAUGUAUAAUUUUAAUAUUAUCUAUUUUUAUCAUGAUAAUUUUGACUUUAACCCAUGGUAAUUUUGACUUAUACUGUAAUUCAUCCAAAGGAAUUUCUUUGUCUACAGUUAAUUUGAAUUCAAAUAUUAUAAAAAAAAAAUUACCUGCAUGUCACUCUUCGCCAUGUGUUCAAAUGAAUCUAGCGAAUCCAAUUAAUGUCGAAAGUGAUGUGCACUGUACUCGCGUUGUGACAGGCAGGAUUGUUAAGGUAGGAAGAAGUGUGUGUGUAGCAUGGCGAGUAUAGAAAAGGAAGCGAGUGGGAGACAAUAAGAUGUGAAAAUACACGUGUAAAUAGGGCAGGAUCCGAAAAAAGCAAUCACGACAGUGAGCGUGGGGGCUGUGAUUGCCUCGUUGUUCUUUGGUUCCAAACCGCUACUGGCCUCGGAUCUCGUUAUUGCCACAUCAGCUUUAAAUUAAUAAUAUAAAGCCUAAAAGGCUUUAUAUUAUUAGAAGAAUAGUUUCGAGCUCAAAUAUAUAUCGUAAAAUUAUUAUUAAAAAAUUAAUAUUAUAAUUUAUUAAAUACUAAUUCAAUAUUUAAAAUAUUUAAAAUUUAUUUAAAAAGUUAUGUGUUUUUUUUAAUAGUUUUAAUGCCGCCAACACUUACCAACUUACAUAUGGAAUAUUUAAAGAAAUAAAUACUCCAUUACUUUAUGUUUACUAAAUAUACAAAUUUUAACACAUAAUCUAUUUUAUGCCCAUUUUAUUCCUUCAAACUAGACUUACUCAUGGGUGUUCGUCCGAAAAAUAGAAAUGUUUGGGUUUAGACAAAAAAGAAAACCCGUUUAAAUCCAAAUUUUGUUUGCUCAGAGGCUAUCGAUGACUUGUCCAACCGAUUUUCUAGACUAAUUUCUUAAGUUCCAGAAAAUACAAGGACCAAAAUGUAAAAAAAUGAAGGUAGAGAAGUAGGUUGAUAAAUAAAAAGGAUGAGACAUAAUGCAGCUUUGUUUAUUUUAUUAAAUAAAAUAAAUACGAAAAAAAAAAGAAAAAAAAGCAUGAUAUAAUAAUAAAAUAAAAAGCAAUCUUAGUACACCAGAAUCGUUUAUUCUAUAUGGGUUUGCACGCUAGCCUUGUUUAAACUAUUCCCACCUUUUAAUUUUAAGUUUAUUUUAUUAGUAAUAAAAAAAAACAAUAAAAGCAUGUUUCUUUGGCUUUUUCCAAUACUUUGUGUUUCUAAAACUGAUACUAAACCCUAGAUAAAGAUAUCCAUCUUCUUUCCACUACCCCCAACAUUAAUUAAACCAAGUUUAUGUCUCAUCCUUAACCUUGUAGCUACUUUUUUAAUUAACCUUUAAUCCCAUGUGAUUACUAUUCUAAUUUUGACUUAAACCUUGCUUUUUUCUCAUAUUUUAUUUACAUGCACAAUUAAAUAUAAUAAAAACAUUGCUUGAUAGAGACAAGUGCUUUUGAAUCCAUUUUAAAAUUCUAAUUAUUAUUAUUAUUUUUAUAUAUCACGAUUAAAAUUAGUUAAAUUAGUCGGAUCAUUAAUUUUCGAUUUGAUUUGAUUGGUUAUAACUUAUUCUUUUUUAUUGUUCUAAAUCGACGUACAUACCAGUUAAUUUCUAGUCUAACUAAUCUAAUCGACCAGUUUGAUUCAGUUUCAACAGCCUUGCCUGAACGUCUUCUCUUAAUUGCUAAUGGAAUAGAACAAAUAUUAAUCCUUUCUCCGAAAGAAUCUGCCAAUAAAGGGGUAUUUCCAUGGGUUUACCUUGGUAUUGUGUUCAUACUGGUUGCUCGCUUUCUGUUCAUAUAAUGCAUACGGCUCUGGUUGCUGGUUGUUGGUUGGGUUGACAAGAUAUGUUUGUUAUACCCUUCAUGACUCGUUUAGGAAUAACCAAUUCAUGGGGCGAUUAGAGUAUUACAGGGAGACUAUAACAAAUUCGGGUAUUUAGGGAUGAAAAUUUCCUCACUUUUUUUUUACAAUUAUUUAUUAAAUUGAAAACUAGAUUUGUUUAAAUAUAAAACUCAUUAUUUCAAAAAAAAAGAAUAAAAUAUUGAAAGUGGGUAAACAGACAAAAGUGGAAAACAUAAAUUUUAUUUUGUUAAUACGGUGUUCCAUAAUAAAGUGGCCCUCAAAGGGAGGUUUCGGGAAGGUACAUAACAUGGUCAAACAACCAAUUUCUAAACUAAUCAUCUUACAUUAAUUUAUUAUUAUUAAACCCUACCCUAUUCUAUUCUUUUGGAUUGCUUUCUUUUAGUGGGUCUCUAAUUUUUAAAUUUUAAAAAAAAAUUUACGAGUUUGAGGUUUUGGGUUUUAGUUUCGUAUUUCAGUUCGUAUUAUUUGAAUUUAUAUUUAUUUUAAAUAAUAUUAAACGAAAAUCGAACUGAAUUAAUAUCAGAUUUAAGUAAUAACUGAAUCGAAUUAAAUAAAAUCGAAUCGAAUAUUAGUAUCUGAAUUAAAAGGGAAAUGUUUAAUUUAAUUGUGGGAAGAGAAACGAUGUUUGAACCGGCAAACAUGACCUAAUGGUUUUGGCAAAGUAAACAAGUCAAUGUCUUUUUCUAUGUUUCUUAUUUUUAAAUUUGGGUCCCAAACCAUUUUUAAAAAAUAUAUAUACUGAUUCCAAUGACCAUUUUUCUAUUUUAUUAUUUACAACAAACAACUUUUAAUAAAUUAGUGUAUUUGAUGUAUAUUGUUCGGAUACUUAAUCGGGACAAGAAAAAUUCAAGUACCAAAUCGAACAUUGAAGUUAAACUUAAGUAUUUGUAUGGGUCAAACAAAUUUGAAAAAAAAAAUUGUGUACCAAAUUGAACAUUCAAACCAAAUAUAGGUACCAAAUAGAUACUAAAAUGGUUUUCCUCAAAGUAUCAACGCAUCAAUCUGUUAAUCAAAUAGUUUCGCACCAUGUAGUAUGUAUGAAACAUGUGUGUACUUAUCACGCAAACUUUUUGAAUCUAACGUGUAAAAAAAAAAAAGAAGAAGCAGCCCUUCUAAAAUUUAAUGACAUUACUUGUUCUUUAACACACUAUAAUCCAAAUUAUCCAUAUAGUAAGAACACACAUAUUUUAAAGAUAUUAUACAUCAUAUCUGAACUAGUAUUUAACACCUAAAAACAGAAGGAUUUGAUUGAUAUAAUACAGAUAUUUUGAGAACAUAAUCAGAAUGUUAUAAAUUUUAAGGAUUGGUUUAGGAUCCAAGUCAUAGUUUGAGUAAGGGUGAGCGUUUGAUUGAGUUGAGUCGAGUGAAAUUGUUCGAGUUAAAUUAAAAAAUUAAACAUGUCAAAUUAAAAUAUUAUUAUAGUAUAACUAAUUCGAUGUUGAAUCACGUAAAUUUGAAACCAUAUAUAUUUGAAAAAAAUUCAAUGCAAAAAAAAACAACUAAGAUACUUUAUUAUGAUAAACUUAAAUAAUUAAUUAACUUAUUUAAGUCUUCAAAAUAAUUAUUUAAAAAAUAAAUAAAUUUUAGAAUUUUCAUAAAUAUUUAGAAUUUUUCGUAAUUUUUGUUGAGAGGGACCAAAGGGGUAUUUACACUAAUCUGUUAUUCGAAUUGUAAAAUUCAACUCGACUUAAACUAGAAACUCAAAUUAUUUAUUCAAGUUAACUUGAAAUACUUAAAAUUCGAACUUUUUUCGAAUCAAAUCGAAUUUUAUUCACCCGAGUACGUUUAGUGAAAUUAACCCAUUGGGAUGGAGUUAGAAAAUAAGAAUUGGCAACCGAGUAUUAAUUAUUGGGAAAACUUAAAAAUUGCUUUGUAAGUUUUGAAAGAACUGAUUUGGUUUUAACUUAAGAAAUCAUUUAUACAUUGAUAAGGGUAGGUGUAAACCGUUGGAUGGUAGGCCAUGGGAUCAGCCGACCAGCCCCAGGGACCUUAUUAAGUCCAAGUCCACUUUCUAUAUGAACGUCACUUAAAAGCAACGAGUGAUGAUGCCAUUUAAAACAUCACUCUUUUUCUUUUUCUUUUUAUGAAAAAGAAAAAUAAAGCACAAAUUUGUUGGAUACAAAUUCAAAAGCAUAUGUAUUUGAGUUUUACAUAAAUAACCCCUUCCCAGUCCACUCGAACUUACGUCCUUUUACAUUUAUAACAAUGCUUAUGUUAAUCGAGUUAAAACUCAAUCGACGAUUCGGGUUUUCCAUUUGAAUCAAUUUAAAUUGUGAAUUUGAUAUAAACCCAAUGUGAAUACUAUGAUAUUAAAUGAUUUAAAACAAGAAAAGAACAAGAAAAGAGGAAAAGGGGAUAUGAUUUUGCAAAAUAUGUAGUAAAGAAAAGCAAGUAAUCUUCUUUUUAGGGGUUUUUUUUUGGGGGGGGAGGGAAUCCGAUCUAGUUGGACCAUGAAAUGAAUAAAGAAAUACUGAAAGGAACUAUCUUGGAUUAAAAGGAACCUAUGCUAGUGGGUCCAUGCAAUGGGAUAGAUACUAAUACUUACUGGUUUAUUUUUUAAAGGGAAAAAGUUCCCAUCUUCACUACUCGUCGGAAGUUUCCAUGAAUUGUUCAUCCAAGUAGCUGCUUCAACUUUGAUUGUUAGAACAUGCUAGGGACAAAAAACCUUUUGAGAUCCUUAUGACAUGUAAUAUGCGAAAAUAUUUGAUAAAUCGUAAGUAGAUUGACAGAACAAUAUAAUUGAUACGAUAUUUACAUCUUAAAAUAUUAAUUUUAAUUAAAAAGAAAAUUAGGUGGCUUUUUAAUAUGGCAUAAGACCAGGUGGUGAUAGAAGAAGAAAAGUGAGUAGGGGAAAUGCACCAUCGCUCUCUUUGAGAAGGAAAGUCAAGUAGGGCUGCAACUCCUAUCUAUUUGACAUCUGAAUUAUUUUAUGAAGCAACAUGUAGCAUUGUCAAACUGGGUUAUGUAGGAUGGUCCACAUAUUUCCUCCUUUACACGUCAAACGCAGAACAAAGGUAUGGAAUAUUUGGCUAGUUUUACACCGCAUCCCACACAGUCGUUUGUGAUGAGGUUUUCUCAUUUCUGUGGCUUUUAUUGCAGGGUCUAUGUUUGUUUGUUUUUAACCACCCACCCAAACAAAAAUUUUAAAAUUUUAAGGUUUUGGCAGAUUGAGUUUUUAAUUCAAUUGAUAUGGGUAUUGUUGUAAAUACAGGAGAACGUGAGUUCGAGUGAGCUGAAGCGCAUUAUCCUAAUAUUUAUGCCUUAAAAAAAGAUAAUGAAUAAUUCAAAAUAUUAUAUUCGAAAAAAAAAAGAUACGAUCAGAACAUAUAAUAAAACUAUUAAAAAAAAGAAAAGAGUUUUUGAACCAACAUGUCCCAACCCCUCCCACCUUUAGAAAUGUUGGUAUGAGGCCCAGCUCAGACUGGACUGGGACCACUACCUCCAAGCUUUUUCUUGCUAAUAUAUUUGUUCCAAAAUAUAGAUAGAGAUGAGGCUUUCAAUAUUCAAAGCCUGAGACCGAUUGGACUUGGCCCAACCUAAGGAUGAAUUUAAAAAAAUUGCUUUAAAGGGUUGGAGAUGAAUCAAAAAACAAUUGGGAUUAAAUUACAAUUUUAUUAUUAUUCAAACAUAUAAUUUUAAAAAAAAAUUAAGGGACUAAAUGGAAAUUUUACCAUUUUUGGGGUCCCAUUUGUCUUUGUCCGGCCCAACCUUAAUAUAUUCUUAUUUUCUUUUAUACAUCAUGUAAUUUACAUCCUAUGAAAAUUAAAUAUAUAAUAUUAUAAUAUAAAUAUUAAAAGAAUAUGUUCCGUUUAUAAAUUUAACACAAAAAAUAUAACAACAAUACAUAUAAUUAAUAAUUAAUAAAUAUAUAAUUAUAUUUAAAAAAUGUUGUACUAUAUUUUCAAUUGGUCCUAUUUGGUACCUAAAGUACACUCAAAUUCUCAAUUUGGUACCUAAAGUAUUGUUCGAUAUAUUUUUUAACCCCUUUUUUUACAAACGUUAACAAUUAUUUUUACACCCAAUCACAAAGUGCCACGUGAUGUUUUUAUGUAAAAAAAAAAACAAAUAUUUUCUUUUAUAGUAAAUGUAUAUACACAUUUAAGAAAAUACAAAUUUGAAAAUAAAUAUAUAAAAAAAAUAAAAAUAUAUAUAAUCUAAAAAACCAUAUAAAUUAUAAAAAUAAAUUUCGUUUAUUUUGAAGAUGUCUUAUUUUUUCCAAGAGUUUUUAUUACAUAUAUAAUAAAUAAAUAUUUUCCUAGUGUUUUUACACUAAUAACCGAAUGAGACAUUAAUGUUUAAAAAAUUAUCAUUUACUUAGAUUUAAUAUUUUUAAAGUUUUUAUGAUUUUGUAAAUGAAAUAUUUUAUCUGAAAUUAAAUUACAGUUGAUGAAAAUAAAUUUAAAAUUAUUUUUUAUACAAUAAAUAUUUAAUUCUAUUACAAUUUGGACUUAAUUAAUUCUUUUUAAUAAUACAGGGACUAAAUUGAAAAUGAGUUUUGUUGAGAGGUACUACCAAAGGGCUGAAGUUUAGAAUCCAAAUGGGUAGCCCGUGGGCAACAACUAAUUAAUAUUGACUGUUGGAGCGAGUUGGGUCCAGCUCUCUUAACCCACAAGGAUUCCAUCCUUUCUUGAUUUUGAUAAUCCCCUUUAAUAUCUUCUUAUUUUUUUCGAUAUAAGUUGUUGUUCUCUUCGUAAAUUAGGAAUUGAGUUUCUAUAUUUUUGUAUUUUAAAAUUUUAGUCCCUAUACUUUUUUUAAAUUUAGAAAUUUAAGUUUAAUUGUUACCAUUGUUAAUAUUAUUUUAUUAAUUUUAGGUUCAUUAUAACACCAAUUUUUUUUUUAUAUGGCUAACAAGUGCUUACUUUUUUUUUUAAUUUCAAAACAUCACGCCAAAAAAUUUAACAAAUUUUUUUAAAUAGUAUUAACAAUUGAACUUGAGUUUUGAAAUCUUAAAAAUAAAAAGAUUAGAUUCUUGAAAAUAAGAAUACAAUAACUAAAUUUCAAAUUUGUGAAAAGUACAGGGACUUAUAGAGAAUUUAAAGAAAAGGUUAAAUAUUCAUUUAUUCUGGGUAAAUUCAACCAAUAUCACCCCAAUUAUUAACGUGUUUUUGUUUUGGUCACUUAACUUCAAGGUUUCUCAUAUUGGGGUUUGGUUUUUCAUUUGUCCAAGUUAAGCCCUGAAAUUGACAAAUGUUCCUACAUUAGGACUUGAACUUUUUUUUAUUCGAGUGAGUUCUUGAAUAUCCUAAAGUUCAACCCCAAUGUGGGAACAAUUAUCAAGUUUAGGGUCUGAGCCAAAAAAAAGUUCAAACCCAAAGAACAAUUGUCAAUUUUAAAUGGAUUUAAAUGAGCUAUUUAUAAAUAUAAACAAAUUUGGUUGAAAUUUAAAACUUACAUUUCAGGCCUAGAAGAUUAGUAUAUAUAUGGAAUGAUUCCAUGAUUUAAUCAUGACAAUUGAAAAAGGCCCCCUUUAUGUUUUUGGCCCAAUAUUACCAACAAAAUCAUUGCAGGUUCUUCCCGUACAAAGCAUGAAACAAUUCAUUGAUAUUGUAUUGAUGGCCCCUUUGAAAUUGCAUAUUCUAAAAUUUGCAGGCAAUGGUGAGGGAAGUGUUUUGGCUUCCCCAAGCUCAGCUACAUAUUCCAUGGGAAAAUGUUGGAAACCUCCUUUCCUUAUAAUAACUACUUGCUACAUAAAUAUGUUUGUUUGUUAAUAUGUAUUCCACAUCAAUGCACUGCCCAAAUCUCUGCUUUUCAUUUAUACAUAUAAUUAUAACCACAAGGUUGAAGAGAGAGAAUUUUUCAGAACAAGUCUUUGAAAUGUCGUAUGCUUGAAGCUGACGAAUACUUAAACCUGUUAAUAUUAUCCCCGAUUGAAGUUUUGUCUCCCGAUUCUUUGGAGGAGUCAAAGUGCUUUGAGAGAUUGGUUAAGGCGAUGGUUUAUCUAGAUUGACUGUGCGCGAUGAACAAUUACCUACUAAAUACUAAGUGGCACAUAGUUACCCGUAAGCCUAUGUUUGGAUAGUCAAAAUUUAUAAAGGAAAUCCUUUCUUCGGUUAAAUUGGGGAAAAGAAAGUGAGGAUUUUCAACUCCCUUCCGUUAUAAAGUAAUCCCCUUUCGCUUACUUUACUUAGCUUUCCCUCAUUUUUUCCCAAUCCAAACGCGUUGUAAAUGUCUUAUAUGUUAUAAGGCACGAGCUCAAACUUUGCCAAACACAAACGCUUAUAUUUUCUUGAUAGAUGAUCAUGUGCCACGCAUAAUUUAUCUUGACGAUAUGCUUCUACUUUGAUAAACUCACUACCUCUUGUAACAAUUUCAAGCAUUUGAGUUCUGAUCAAGUUCGAUAGAACAAACUUGAUCGAAAGAGUCAACCUCCCCUUAAAAAUUAAUUAGUUAAAAUUGAAUUAACUAUAAAAUUCAAUGCUUAUAAAUAAUUAGCCCUAUUAAAAAUAUUGCAACUUCAAAUAGUUAUUCAAGUCAAUGUUAAGAGUGAUUAAUUCAAUUAGAAGUUAGUAAAGCAUUUAACUAAACCAAAUAACCUACAAAGAAGAGUGAACAAAAACAGGUUACUUACAUGUAAUUUUGUCUGUUUCCUCAUUUUAGGUAAUUAUUAUUAUUAUAAAUGGUUUGAUUAGCAUAGUUUAACUUCAAUCCAGUCUCGGCAAACAAAAUUCCAACCUAUUGAGUUGGGUUUUUUUUAGGAGAAAUCUUUGAUUGGAUCUUCAAACAAUGAAAGUAUUAUAUGAAGGGUGUUUAUAGUCGAAUUUUGUCUCCCUCCUCUAUGAAUCCUUUUAAGCUCUCUUCAAAGUAAAAGACAAAAAUUCAAAGCUAAAAUCGAGUAUAGACAUCUCACCAUUAGCAAGGAAUAACAAUGUAAAUAAAAAAGAAUAAAUUUUUUAAAAAAAUGAUUAAGAGUAAUUAUAUUUUUUCUUAAAUAAUAAUAAAAAAUUAAAGUUUUGAAAAUUCAAAACAAACAAAAUUUGAAACUGAAAUGGCGAUGAUAUCGAUAGCAUUAAACUCUUAAAAAAAAAAUAAAAAUUAAUGAGCUGCUUCGACUGUGUUUCUACAUUGAUUCGAUUUUAAAAUUAAAAAUUAAGAAAAUUCUGUUUGUUUCACAUGGGAUAAUAUCAAAGGUAAAUAGUUUAAAAUCAAUAUAUAUUUAUGGUCUAAUAUUAUUAAAUAUUUCCCUAAAAUAAUCAACUCGACAUUAAUAAAUUCAUUCAAUAUCAGCUCAAUUAAUGAAAUUAUUAAAUUAUCGUUACAUAUUUUAAAUAAAUUAUAUAAUUAUGAUAGUAUUUUUAUAUUUUUUCAUAUUAAAAGAAAUUAAUGAAAAAAAUCGCAAAUGUUGAUAUUUAAACUCAUGUCAUUGACAUCUACACAAUUUAUUUUAUCGCUUUAACAAAGCUUUAUUUUGAUAUCUCGAUGCUUUCCAAUGUUAUUAUAUAAAUUGUUUCACCCACAUUGUUUGUAUAUUUAUUGAGCUAGUGUCAUAAGUAAACUCCGAUACCAGCUCAAGAAAAAUGGCAAUACCAUCAGGAGCGAAGCCAGAAAAUUUUUUUAGGAGGUCGAAAUUAAAUUGUAAUUUUUAUGAUCGUAAAAUGUAAAUUUUAAAGAAUUAAAUCAAAUUUUUAUCAUUUUUAAAGGGUCAAAGUGUAGUUUUACCUUUACUAAUUUAAAAUUUUAAAUGGCCAAAAUAAAAAAGUUUCCAUUUUAGGGGACCAGACCGUUACUAGCCCCCCUAGAUUUGCCCCUAAAUACCAUAAUAAAUAUCAUAGCGUAUUUACUAUUUUAAAUUUGAUUUAUUUACCUACUGAAAUUUUAUUUUACUCACAAUUUAAUCUAUUUUUAUUUUAUUUUUGACACAUUGCAUACGUGUUACUGUUAUUAAUUUCAAACCUUACAUUCCAUUAAUUAUUGUAUGUUGUUUUUAAACAUACGUGUGCACGUGUGAUAAAAUUUUUAAUAUUAGACAAUAUCAUUGAUUUAAAAUAGUGUCACAAGUUAACUUAAUAUUAAUUUUUUUUUAUAUUUAGAUUUUUAAUAUUGAAUCUUCCUUUCACUAACGUGAUAACUUUGUGAUGUGCUAUAAAAAAACGACAACAUCAUGAUGAACAAAACACAAUUGUUAUUCAUUAGUAGUAUAUAUUUAUCUAUUUAAUUUUUUUUCACUCACAAUUUAAACCAACUUUUCUUUUAAUUUCAUACCUAUUGUAUGUUACUGUUAGUUUCAAACCGUACGGUUUAUUUUUUAUUGCAUACUUCCAUUCAUAUUUGUUGUUUCUACUAUCAUGGGCAUGUGAUAAGAUUUUUAAUAAAUUAAUAAAAAAAGGAAAAAGGUAAAAGAGAUUUGACAAAAGCAUUAAAGAAAGGAGGGAAGCGGAAGCCGAGCCGAAGUUGGCGCUUCGCUUAACCCGAUAAGAACACGUGCGAGGACAGUCCAAACACGUACGACUCUCUCACCACCACUGGGAAAGUAAACUCUCAGUAAAACAUACACAAAAUAAUUAAAUAAAUAAAUAAAACGACAAAAAUGGAAAGAACAAUCGAAGAAGCCGUGCAGCACUCAGCAUAUAUAAAGAGAACCAGCAGCACGGAGCUAAAGCCCAAACAAACAGUCCUAUUUCCCCUAUUCAUAUAUCCUCUUCACUCGUCCCUUCGCUCACCCCCGUUUCUAACUCAACUCAGUGCUCACACACAUAACUGAUAAAUCACUGUUUGGAGUCAGAGAGAUAGUGAAACAUUGUAUUUCUUGCUUAUCGUCACCAUUAAUGCUAAUUGGUGACCGAAAGGAAAACUAAUUUGUUCUAAAAUGGAGCAAAGUAAGGCAACUUUCGAGAUCUUCACGAAACUGGAGCAGAAAUGGCUAUCUCACUGUGAACCUACUAAGAAGAUUCGAAUCCUUAGUAUCGAUGGUGGUGGAACGACUGGCAUUGUCGCUGCUGCUGCUCUUAUCCAUCUUGAAGACCAGAUCCGACUCAAAACCAGUGAUCCUUAUGCUCAAAUUGCUGAUUUCUUCGAUAUGAUCGCCGGCACUGGCGUCGGUGCUAUCCUUGCUGCUAUGCUUUCUGCCGACGAUGGAACUGGCCAUCCACUUUUCACUGCUAGAGAAGCUGUUAAGUUUAUCACGCUGAACAACUCUCGGCUCUUUAGAGUCAAUAAGCUCGCCGGAGUUCUUCACCGUCGGAAAAAAUUCUCCGGUAAGAGCAUGGAUAAGGUGCUGAAGGAAAUGUUUAGGAGAGAAGACGGAACGGUUCUGACACUGAAGGACACGUGUAAGCCUCUCCUGGUUCCUUGCUUUGACCUCAACAGUUCAGCACCCUUUGUUUUCUCUCGCGCCGACGCUUCCGAAUCACCUAGCUUCAACUUCGAGCUUUGGAAAGUGUGCCGCGCCACGUCAGCCACUCCAAGCCUCUUCAAACCUUUCCGAUUGUCAUCCAUCGACGGCAAGACAUCGUGCUACUCCGUGGACGGCGGUCUGGUCAUGAACAACCCUACCGCCGCCGCGGUAACGCACGUGCUCCAUAACAAGAGAGAUUUCCCUUCCGUUAACGGCGUUGAGGAUUUGAUGGUUUUGUCUUUAGGCAACGGUCCGUCGUGCGGAAGGUCGAAGGUCGGUAGUAACGGCGAAUGCUCCACUUCUUCCGUCGUUGACAUUGUGCUUGACGGUGUCUCGGAGACGGUGGACCAGAUGUUGGGGAACGCUUUCUGUUGGAACCGUACUAACUAUGUUCGAAUUCAGGUAUACAUAUCAACCUUUUCUUCCUCUACUCCCUUCGAUGCUCUGUUUGGUUCUUAAUGAAACUUUUUAAUCCAUUGUUAAACAACGUAAAUUUUCCUCAGGUUUCUCGGUAGCCAAACAGAUUUAAACGAUUUUUUUUUUAAAUUUUGGAUUUAAUAUUUGACUCACCACACCACAUUUGACGGUUUGUAACGUGCAGGCAAACGGACUGGGGAGUGGAAGGAUGAGAAUGGAGGAGGUACUGAAGGAAAGAGGGGUCGAGUCGUUACCGUUUGGCGGGAAGAGAUUACUGACGGAGACUAACGGAAAUAGAAUUGAAAGCUUUGUGCAACGCCUUGUUGCUUCCGGGAAAACCAGCCUCCCCCCAAGUCCCUGCAAGGAAUCAGCCGUCAGCCGACUAGCAAACGGCCGUUAGCUACUCAUUUUAAAUAUUUGUUCUCCUCUGUUUUCUUCUUUUCACCCACUCCUUUUGGUUUUCCUCUUUUAACCCUCAUUUUGUAAGUUGUAAUAUGGAACAAACCUCCUCAAGAUCUACUUUUUAACUGCCCUACUUUGGAGAAAAAAAUAGCUGCUACUUAUUCAAACGUACUGAAGUAUUGAGUUAAUGAUGAUUUAAAUGAAUGACACGUCACUAUAUUACCAAUUUAAAGUUUCUUUCCUUUAAAUACUAUAAAUUUCAAAAUAUAUAAUUAUAAAUACUAAUUAAUUCAUUGACUCAAUUCAAAGUCUUACCGAGGUGUUGAUUCAAAGAGUGAAAAAAAUCGGUUGAUAUUGUCAAUCCAUAAAAUCGAUAGAUUAAUUAGUUGAAUUAAAUUUUAUAAUUUUAUUUAAUAUUUAUUUAUUUACUUUAAACUGAUCGACUGAAAAUUAAUGAUCUAACUAGUUUAACUGCCAAUUCGAUUUCAAAAACAUUGUAUAUAAUUAAUUUUAAUCGUUACUUGUAUAAUAAAGAAAGUAAGUUUAUUACGUAUGUAUUAAAAUCAUUACUUAGUUGGUGUAAUUUAAUUUUUUACAUUAUUUUCUUGAAAAAGAAAAACACUCACACAUUGUUGAAGAACUUAUGUGUUAUGAACAAAAAUAUCACAUUCACAAUAUAAUAAUAUAAAUGAUAUAUAAAAAUAGUCACUAUAAGAUAGUUUUCAUGUUGCCAAAUAGCCAUUUAAAAAAUGAACCAAAUGUGAAGUGCAAAUGAUGAGAAUUAUGAGGUGGUCCUCUAGGCAAGAUGGAUUCAUAGUUAUUAGUUUAGGAAGGGAGUCCAUAAGAAGUUAAAAAUGAGUGUUGUUCCAUCACAUCCCUACUUUCAAGUUAUAAACAAGUUUCAAAUUAAGGACCACCCCAUAUCUUUCUCUAAUGGCUAAACAACAAAUCAUGAAUUAAUAAUAAUAUUAAUAAUUCUACCCGAAAAUUCUUAUAUAUCUCAGUACGGGUUGAUUCGGUUUAUUGAGUAUUCAUUAAUAUUUUGAUAAAUUAAGAAAUGGUUUUGUUAGGAAUGUCAUAACUUUUGUUAUUGUAAUUGAUUUGGUUGAGUAUUAGGACGAAAGGAAUACGAAUUGAGAAUAGACCUUUGAGGACGGUGUCAAAGGAUAUUUCUAAAAUUAUAAGAUAGUCUAAUAGUAAAACUGGUGGAAAUAUACUACUGCAAAACAAAAUUUGUCAUAAUCGGUGUAAUCAUGUAAUGGACAUUGCCCCUCAAAGUUAACACAGUACUUUAAUAUUCAUACACCCGAAUAAAGAAUGUGGAACACUAUUGACAUUGCUCUUCUCAAAAGGAAUGGAAACCAAACAACAAAAAUAGUUGAUUGGAAAUCUGAUUAGAAAAUGAAUAGGAAGAAAACUGACGAAAUUCCACACUAAGUUUAAUUCCCAAAAAAAAUUAGAAGGAUCACAAACGAUUUUACUUAAAACUCACUCUCUUAAACAGAAUUUUCCUGUAAUUUCACAAAAUAUUAUAAUUUAAAAAUUUAUAAUUUCUAAUUUCGACUUUACCUCUAAGUAAGGAUGAUGGUAACACAAAAAACGAAGUGUCGAAGACAAAUAAAAAACUUAUUGAACAACUCCUUGUAUGAAAAAACUUCAUUCUGAUUUGAAACGAAAACUAGCAAAAGAUGAAUAAUACUGUUUAGUGAUUGACUUGUACGUAGGAAAUAUUUGGCCCUCUAUGACAUUAAUGACAUGCCUUGACCAACAUAUACAUACAAUUGGCUAGAGCAAGUGGUCUACUAAAAUUUCAGCAAUUUAGCUAAAAGGUUGAAAUAAGUAAAUAAAGGAAUUGAAAAUUUUAGCUAGAAUCCAGAUGCAUACAGCUGAGCUACCAAAUUUCAUCACAACUAUGGAAAAAUAGGUUGGAAGUUGAAGCAGAAAGGACGAGGACGAACUGGCAAACAAAACCCAAUUGGGAUGCCAAAUGGGUCCAGCAUUAAAUACAAAAACUUCUGUUUUCCCUUUUAACCAAUCCAUUAUUUCCCAAAUCUCAACCCUUUUCUUUUCUGUAGUUGUGGAUGCAAACACAAGAAUAGACCUUGAAAAGGAAUCAAAUCCUCUUACUGUUACAUAAUAUCUUUCAUACACUGUAAAAUCAUUAACAAAAAGGGGGCAAUUUUUUCACUGAAUCAUUUCAUUUAUAGCAUGUUCCUCUGAAAAUUUUCUUGUUCUACUUUUGGUAGGUAAGUUUGGUGGGUGAUGAUUUGCAGGCAUCUACUCUCUCUCUCUCUCUCUCUCUCUCUCUCUCCCUUCUCCCCCACUUGCGUUGCAUGCGUUGGCAUUAGAUGAGAUGAGACAAUCCCACUAUUCACUCACUUAUAUUACAAUAUUCUACAAGGAUGGAAUUAAGAAUUCAUAGUUUGAUUGGAUUGGAUAAGUACAAUUAUAAGUCCAGUUGUUAUAUUUACGAUUAUCAUUUCAUUGGAGGUCUUGUUUUGGUUUUAUGUACAAUUACAUGCAUAUUUUGAGGUACAAUUCACACAUAUUCAAUGAAAAUAAAUCGAUAUCAAUCAUAUACUACAAGCUAGUAUUCAUUAUGCCACAAACCCACAACAUGAAUUAUGCGGUGAACGAGUACGGUCAAUAGAUCAAACGGCAACUCGCCUUCUAUAUCGAUUUAUCUCAAUUUUUAAAGAUUUUUAGGGUUUAACUACGCAAAAAUUAAAAGGUAAAAAUAAUCAUUCUGAGUAUGAAAAAAAGAACAAUGGGUGCCUGAAGUUAGAACACCUCAUUUUUAUUAUGUUUCCGUUUAUGUUACAAUGCUACUUAUAAUGUCAUAUAAAUUUAUGUCAUGAGCUACAAAAUUUUUUGUGACAUAAAUGUACUUACGAUAAUGAGAAUGACAUUAAAAAUUUAUUAGUAAAACAACACAUUUCAACAUUCCUUACUAAUAAAUUUUUGAAUUAGCAACACAAACAAUUUUUUUUAAUCUUUUUUUGUGAUAAUUCUUGCACUAACAUUAAGUGUGUAAUACCCUAAAUCCGGUUUAGACGUUAUGGCCGAAUAUAGAGAAGUUACCUCGACAUGUUUGAAAAACCAAUUUAAAAUCCAACUUAGAAAUCACGUGAUCAAAAAUCUUAAACUUUAGCUAACCUCAUAUAAGUCAAUGUAAUUCCUCAAUUCGGUCAUAACAUUUGGGCCGAGUUUUGGGUGUUACACACCAAUAAUAAUAAAUGGUAAUAUCCAAUCAACUAGUUGAUUUUGAUAACUUAUCAAAGCAGCACAAUGCAUGAGACUAAAAAUAUAUUUCCACUUUGCAUACAUAAGGACUUGAACACAAUACUAAGGUUAAGCUAAAGCCUUACCAUUGAGCCAACUAGCACAUUCUUGUUAAACUUGCGCGAGAAUUAAAUUUAAGUCAAACGUUCAAAUUUAAAGAUAGAGACAAAAAUAAUAAAAAUUCAAGGGAAAUGAUUUGAAUACAAGACCUUAAACACUCAUAUAUAACACUUCACCAUUGAACCAAAUCAAUUCACCUUACAAAAAUUUCACAAUCCUUAAACCAAACACAAGACGUGCCCUCUUUUGGUUUCACCAACUUAAUUUCUACUAACUUGAUUUUUGGGAUGUGACAAAGUGACACAAUCCCGUGAUGUUUCAUAAAAUAGUUAUGUAAAAUAUAAAAAAAAUAACAACAAAGAGUGACAAUUUAUUGUGUUUGUCAUGUUAAACUUAUUUUUUUGUGACAAAAGUAAUGCGUCACUUUCUAUGUAUUAUAAAUAUAACGAAUCAAAUUAUCACAAAUAAAGCCUACUAAUAAUAAUGUCAUAAAGAAGGAAAAAAUUCCUAAAAUAUAAAAUAAUAUAAAUUCAUCACUAAUAAGAAUUUACAUUGGUGAUGAUAAAAAAAGUCAUCACAAUUUUGUCAAGACGUCACAAAAACAUUUUCCACCAAUUUUUUUGAGUUAAAUUUUGGCUCCAAACAUAUAGUGACGAAAACUUAAGACCUUUUUUGAAUUUUUCAUCUAAGAUAUACAAUCAAUCAUUAAACAUUAAGAUUAUUUAUUUUCGUCACAUUUGUAGUAUAUUUUAUGACAUUAUACUAAAAAUUUGUCACUAAUUAAUAAAUUUAUUGCAAUAUCAAACUUGAUUUACACAAUAUAAAACUCAUACCAAAAUUCUCGAAAUCUCAACUUAUCAUUAAGCUAAAUAUUCUUUGAAAACUCUUAAUUCAAUAUUGAAAAGAUAACUAUCAAACUUUCUAAAAGAAGAAAAAGGAAAGAAAGAAUUUCCAAGCAUUACCAUUAGUGCAUGUGAAAUGCUAAUGAUUAGGAUUGAAGCAAAGAAAAAUAUCAAGUAUUUGUACUAAAACACAUAUGAAAGUGUUUGCUUUUAGCUUUUAUAUAUACAAGAAAACCUCCAAACUAACCCAAUUUAAAAAUGAAAACCAAAACAAACAAGAGGCCACUAAGAACUAUGUGAAAAGAAAGAGUAGAUUCCACCCUAGGGAAGCUCCACUUAAGAUUGACAUGUAUUAAUCUUGUUGAGAUUUUUUUUUUCUUGGACAAUUGUUAACAGUAUGGUUAUGGCUAUAAAUUAAGGUUGAAAAAGCUUUUGAGUAGCUAGCAUCUCUCUUAUUGUUAGUAGGCUUUUUCAUCACACACUUAAAUUAUUUGGUUUAUCCAAUGGGCAUGGGGUGCUUAUUUUAAGGGGCACUUAAGAGUUUGUUUUAUUCUUUUAGUAAAGCAAGAUUCCACCACCCUUUUUAUUUCUCUAUAAAGAUAAGCUUAAUAAACUAGUUUUCUUCUACCAAAAGAGAGAUUUAGUGGAAGGUACAUAACAUCAUGAAAAAGGAUAAGGGAAUCACGGGUGUUAGGUUUCUAGCCUUGGCUUGCUAAGCAACAAUUAUUUAUAUAAUAAUUCGUAGUUCGACCACCUUAUAAAAAAACAAAGAAAUAACGAUGAAGUGUUUAUUUUAUAGAAUCAUUUCGAUAUUUAUAAUUAUUUUUCUCAAUAAUGUUACUUUCAAGAAAAGGAUAUAACGUAACUUAUCAUUACGUUUAACAUUGGUUGAUUAUACAACUAUUUAUAAAAUAUGACAUUUUAUAAGUUUGGGUUUAAACUAUACCAUCUACGAUGUUGUUGUUUUUUUUUUCUUAUCAUAAAGUGGAAGAAAAUGGUUGGUGAGCAAUCCUAUUCAAGUGAUGAAAACCACAUAAUAUAAGAAAUUCCAAUAUGAUUAAGAGAAAAGCUAUUUUCAAGUGUAGAAUAUGAAGGAGAGGAAGAGUGGUGUAAGGUUCAAGUGAUGCAUUUUUUUUUUGUGUGUGUGUGGGGAGACAAUCAAAGACCACCCCACAUUAAGACUCAAAUUAUAUAGUGUUCAUUAGGAAUAUUUGUCCAUUUCCAACUCAAAACAAAAAAUGUUUCUUUCAUGUACACACUUUUGCUAUAUAAUGACCAAAGCAAUAAAAAGAACAUUUUAAUAAGUGCCCCUCCCAAGCACCCAAUAGUAGACGAAGCCAAAAAGGUUAUUGAAAGAUAAUGAUAUUAGAAAAUGCUUGCAAAAUGCUUCAAGCUAACUACCCUAAUUGGCUUAUAAUUAGUUGAUAUUAUACAUACAUUCUUAUCCCUUUAUUUAGGGAAUUUGCCUAUUAAAGUAUUGGUUCAAUCAUAAUUGUUACUAAAAGCUUGUGAAUACCAUUCAUUUGCCUAGGUAGGGUACACACUCAAAAGGUGAGGACCAUACAUGCCCAUCUCUCUUUCCUUUUGGGUGCUAUUGGAAAUCACUCAAUUAGGUGGAUAAUGAAUGACAAAAUGUAUUUUUACCUCAUUGUUACCCAAAAAAGGUAAUGGAGUUCAAUGAAAAUAAUGCUAAGAGUAUAAACAAAAUUAAAUUUAUUGGUUCAACUUUUUUAUUGGUUGUGAAGUUUGGUAAUCACUCGAUCUCCAUCACUUUAACUUAACUCGAUGUAUUUAAACGAUUGUUUGUUGGGAUCAGCAUGCCAUUUUGUCAUUAUUAUGUCAAUGUUCACCAAAUACUUUUUAAGAUUACUUUAUAUAGUUAAUUGAGUCUUAAUUCGAUUGGUAUGAGUACUGUUGCCAAUGUAGGAGGACUUGAGUUUGAGUACGCUGAAGCACAUUAUUCUCCUAUUUAUGGAUUAGGGAGGGGUUAUGGGUUGAUUUUUUAAUGCCUUUUUACAAAUAUCGCUUUCUAGACACUUUUAUUUUUGUAUUUAUAGAAAUAGAUUGGAUUUUGAUUGAAUUGAUAUCAUGAGUUAAUUAAAUAUUAAUUAAGUUGAAGAAAUUAUUUAAAAAUAUUUUUAUACACCAAAUAAAUUAUAGUUUUUUUUUCUAAUAUAUUCGAUAAAAAGCUCACAUAAGAUGAUAUUUGAACCCGUGACAUCAACUUCCUUAAAAUCUCAAUUUUAUCACUUUAACAAAGACUUUAAUUUGAUUUUUUUCCCUUAUAAAUUUCAAUAUUUUUACAUAAAAAAACUUCAACUCAAUACCAACCAAUGAUUGAUGAAAGCUUUACUAUACGUUACUACUCAACUUAUGACUCAAUUGUUAAAUAAAUCUUUUAUUGUUCAUCAAAUAUUACUUUUAAACACACAUCUAUAUUUUAAAUAUACAAUUCCCACAAAUAUACAUCAAAGGCGAAGUCAGAAAAUUGCUUUAGGGACAAAGAUGAAUCAUAAAUUUUGGAGAAGCAAGAUGCAAAUUUACCAUUAUAUUAAAUUAUAUUUUUUAAAAUUUUAAAAGGAGUACAAAACAAAUUUUACUAUUUUUGAGGAAGCCCAAAGCCACUACUUACCUCUAUCUCUCCUGAUAUACGCAUAUGAUACAAUUACUAAUUUUUCGAUUUUUCUCGUAUAUUUAAGCAAAAACAAAAGUCCAUAUUAAUAUUUUUUUCAGUGCACCUUUAUUGUUUAGUUGAUAUCAUAGACCAACUUUAAUGUAUUAGAGUCGUAAGAAAUUCCAAUUCUUUUACCAAAAUUAACCUAAGUUAAUUAAUGGACUUCCAAAGCCAUUCAUGCAUAUAGAUUUUGCACAAAAAGUGUGCUGUCGUGAUCAGCCAUAGAUUCGACCUGAUUUGGGUUACACGCCAUCUUAAAUCCAGCCUCCUUACCGAUACAUAGGUCGGUUUCAACUUUAUCUUAUUUAAAAAGGAAUAAUUUUAGUCGCAAUUUUUCCCAUUGUCAAAUUUUAAAUAUAGGAAGAUGUUAUUAUAUAUUCGUACAUAGAGAAAUUAUUUUAUGCACCUUUCCUACCACACUAUUUAUAGUCCUUUUCAAUUAUUUAAUUACGUUUCAACAACAAAAAAUUUUAUGUCAUUGACACAUAAUUUUGAUAAUUUUUUUUAUCCCGAAUCCAAUAUUUAAACCCUGAAUUUAGAAUCUCAAAUUCUAAACUCAAAACCUAGAACCCUAAACUUGUAACCUCGAACCCUGAAUCUAAACCUUAAACUUUGAAUCUUAUAUCUCGAUCCCAAACCCUAAACCUCGAGAUUCAGGGUUCAAGAUUUAAGUUUUAUGAUUCAAUGUAAAAUAAUUAUCAAAAUUAUGUACCAAUGACAUGGAAAAAAUUGCACAAAAAUUACUAAUUUUUUUUUUAAAUUGUUGCACAAAAGUAAAAAAUAUUAAGUUAUGAAGAGAAAAAAAAAUGAUUAGAAUUUGUAAAAGAAUAAAAGAUGUUUGUUUAUAAUUUAAAAAUUAAUUAUUUUAAGUAAUUUAAUUAAAGUUAAAUUAACUUGGAGAAGAUAUUAGAUAUAGAUGAGUGUAUAAUAAUACUUUUUUAUCUUUAAAUUUUAAUGAUGUGGCAUUAUUUUAUUGGUUCGUAAAAAUAUUUUUUUAGGAUAAUCCUAAUAGAAUUUAUUCUCUUUAAAUUUUAAUGAUGUGGCACUAUUUUAUUGGUGCAUAAAAAACUAUACUUUUUAAGAUCAUCCGAAUAUAAUUUAUUCCCUAUUUAAAAUACAUUCAAUUUCAAUUAUAUUUAAAAUUAAUUAGGGUGGAAUUCUUAAAUGAAAUAUAAAAUUUUCUCAAUCAUUUUUUAUAAAAUUUAAACCAGAAAUUUUAUUACCAGAUAUCAAAUUUAUUACUCAUCAACAUAACAAAAAAUGGUUAAAUCAAAUUUUUUGGUCUUAACUUAGUAAUUUUUAUUAUAUUGGGGUUUGAAUUUUUUUUAUCAAAGUUAGGCAUUGAACUUGACGAUUGUUCUCAAAUUAGGGUUUGAACUUUUCUUGUUCAAGUUAAUUCUUAAAACCCUAAAAUUUAGGCCUCAAUAUGGGAAUAAUCACUAGGUUCAGAGACUAACAUGAACAAAAAAAAAGUUCAAGCCGAAUAAUUGCCUAGUCCAAAUCCCAAUGUGGGAACAAAUGCAAAGUUCAUUGCUUAACUUAGACAGAAGAAAAAUUCAAACCCCAAUAUGAAAAAAAGUAAUCAAGUUUAGGCUUCAAAUAAUGAUAAAAGAUGGUGGAUGAAAAACUUAUACAUCGUACCAACACUUAUCCCUUAAUGAAUCUAUAGAAUGCGAUGAAUUAAUUACUAGAUAUAAUCUAAUUAUGAUUAUUUAAGUAAAUUUAGCUUACAUUAAUAUUGACUCAAUUCUUUGAAUAUUCUAAAAAAGCUAUCUACUCUGAAGCAUAGUGAUCUGGUAAAUAGUUCAAUAUAUUAUAAUUUAAUAGGUCAACUUGAAUUAUAAAUAUAAGAUAAUAAAGAGUUUAAAAUUGCUUAGAACUUUAUCUGCCAGAUAAGUUUAAAUAUGAACUGUUGAUAUAAUUCAAUCUAAGUAAAUAAAUUGAGGUGUUUGAAGCGAAUUCUCCAUAUGAGGAUUUACAAUUUGCUCUAUAAUGCUGAUUUUUUUAAGCGAAUUCUCUACCUAAAGCUACAUCGUUUUCUUGAGGAUAAGACACAUUACAUUUCUUUGAGAUUCUUAACUUUGAGGGUUCAGAUUGACUUAAACAAACAAUUUAAAACAUUUUAAGACCACACUGCUUACUCUAAUUAAAAGCUUGACUUAGGUAAGCAAUUUGAAGCAAAUUAUUAGCAUAAGAUUCACAAAGUUUACUCAGGUAAAGAGUGUUUAGUCUAAGUUAGACAAAAAAUUAGAAGUGAACUCUUUGCUUAAGGCCACAUAGUAAGUACAAUCCAAUUUAAUCAAGGUAAUAAAUUCCGUGACCAACAUUCACUUCAACAUAUUCAACAACCAUCACUGCCAAAAAGAAGAAAGAGAGAGAGAGAGAAGGCGAUAGAUGCAAAGGGCUACCACAGUCACUGCGGUCCACAAAUAAAUACAUUAAAUUAAUUUCUCAUUUCUACUAGCUCACAUUUUUUUUCAUCUUUUGAUUAUUGCUGUACAAUUAUGGUACACCAGCAGCUCUACAUUAAUAUAUAGUUUGUUUGUAGUUACUGUGUUGCAGCCUUGCAAGAAUAAAUAUAACACCUUCCAUUAAUUAAUUUAGUACAGAAGUAAGAUGACAAUUAACAGAGUGAAUUACAUGUUUUCUGAAAUGACAGUGCAAUACAUUUAAUUAUCAAUGUCUGAAAUGCUUUGUAGUUUCAUAUCAGUUUCAGUCUGCAAACAAAUUUUAUUCGAACGAGAGUUUUACUUGAAUAUCAUUCUCAAUAUUUAGAUUCAAACAUUGGGCAACAACAUCUUUGCCCACUGCUUGCAUUACUCCCAAAACAUCAUCUCACUGUGUUUUAGCAGAUAGCACACAGAUUCUCUAUUCAUAUCAGAUGCAACAACUAGGAUGAGUGAGUGAGUGAGUGAGUGAGUGAGUGAGACAAGGCAACAUGUUGAGACUUGAACGCAAUGGGCACACUUGGGAGACGAUGACAAAAAGAAAGAUCAGCUGGGUAGCUGGCUAUUGUUGAAUAGUCAACAUAUGCAAACAAAACAAAUUAUGUAAAAUAAGAAGCCAAGUUUUUUGUAACACUCUUUUGAAGGAGAUAAAUAGAGGGGAAACACAAUGCCCCCAUUGCACCCACAUCUGUUAAGCACACGUGUGUUACUCCAUGAGAUGUGUGAGUCUUAAUGUACUUUGUAAUAAACGAUUAUACAUAUAGAUCAUGAUAAGAUCUUGUCUCCUUGGCUUUACUUCUCAUUUUUGUCUUCUUCUUCCUACACAAUAACGACAAAAUUAAUUUGGUUAAAAUAUGAACUAAUUUUUAUACUUUGUACUUGAAAAACAUAUUAAAACUAUCUGUACUUUUUCAUCAGUUCAAUUGUUAUUGUUGUUAGUAUUUUUUGUUAAAAUUUAUCAAUUGAAUAUAUUGAUCAGGUUAUUCAUAUAUGGUGUAGCUUACAAAAUUGUCAAAAUAAAACUAAAUCAGUUGAUUGAACUAAAAAUUAAAAGUUCAACUAGUGACAUAUAAACCGGAAUUAACUUAACCUUUUUGAGUUGGUAAAAAAUCAAAAAUUGAAAACAAGAAAAAUCGAUUAAAAAAAGAUUUUUUUAUUAUUAGCAAAAUUUUGUGUCACAUCCCAAAAACCAGAUUAGUAGAAAUUGUGUUAGUAAAAUUAGGAGUUGUCACAUCUUGUUUUUGCAUUAAAGUUGUAAAAAUUUUGUCAAGUGAUUUAAUUUAGUUUAGUGGUUAAGUAUGUUGCUUAUAUAUGAGAGGUUUUAGGUUCAAAUCUUUUCCCUAUCUUCAAACUUAUAGCUUAUAUAUUAUUUUCACUCAAGUAAUAACAUAAUGAGUCCCUAUGCGUGUAAAUGGGAACGUUUUAGUGUUUGGGGU